rnacentral:tRNA from 1 species
GGGCGCGUAGCUCAGUUGGUAGAGCAGUUGACUUUUAAUCAGCGGGUCACAGGUUCGAACCCUGUCGCGCUCA